UACGUAGGGUGCGAGCGUUGUCCGGAAUUAUUGGGCGUAAAGAGCUCGUAGGCGGUUCGUCGCGUCGAAUGUGAAAACCCGGGGCUCAACUCCGGGCCUGCAUUCGAUACGGGCGGACUAGAGUUCGGUAGGGGAGACUGGAAUUCCUGGUGUAGCGGUGGAAUGCGUAGAGAUCGGGAAGAACAUCAGUGGCGAAGGCGGCCUGCUGGGCUGUUGCUGACGCUGAGGCGCGACAGCGUGGGGAGCAAACAGG
rnacentral:rRNA from 1 species